rnacentral:rRNA from 1 species
ACCCGUAAUAUCCGGGCUACACGCGGGCUACAAUGGGUGGGACAAUGGGUAUCGACACCGAAAGGUGAAGGCAAUCUCCUAAACCCAUCCGUAGUUCGGAUUGUGGGCUGCAACUCGCCCACAUGAAGCUGGAAUCUGUAGUAAUCGUGUCUCAAAAUGGCACGGUGAAUAUGUCCCUGCUCCUU